rnacentral:lncRNA from 1 species
GGCAUUAGAAAGCAAGUGCAUUAUUAUCACCUGGAAACAUAAACAUUGUACUCGGCAUACUUUUCUUCUACUUCAUUUUGAAUCAAUGGCUUUUGUGUUAUGGGAAACGUUCACAGAAUCAAUCACAGCAUACGCAGAUCUCUCUCCUGCGACUUUCCUUACAUCUCUAACCUUGGGGCUUGCCUUGUUCUACGCUAUUUCAGUGAUGUUUAGGCCCUCUGCUCAGCCACACCAGCAGUACUGUUCGGUGGUGAAAGACAAGAAUGAAGUUACAGUGGAUACCACAACUAGUCAAUUAGCAGUUGUCACCUCAUCCCCUCUAUGGGAUGUCUUUUUGAGUUUUCGUGGCCAAGACACUCGCACAAAUUUCAUUUCACAUCUUUACCAUGCUUUGGAUCAGGCAGGGAUCGUAACCUUCAAAGACGAUCCUGCACUUGAAAAGGGUGAAGAAAUCUCAUCAGCUCUGCGUCAAGCAAUCACAAAUUCUAAAAUGUUUGUACUAGUUAUCUCACAGAACUAUGCUGCUUCGUCGUGGUGCCUUGAUGAGCUUGUAGAGAUCCUGAGUUGCAAGAGAACAAAGAAUCAGGUUAUUCCAGUAUUUUACCAUGUUAAUCCAUCAGAUCUACGACACCACAGGGGGAGUUUUGGCGUAGCUCUUAAAAAGCAUGAGAAGCGUCACUCUGUUGAUAGGAUUCACAAGUGGAAAUCUGCGCUUACUGAAGUCGCAGCUCUAUCAGGUUACCAUUUGGAAGACGCAAAAGAGUAAGUCCUUUAUGAUGACUUCUUUAUCUAAUUCAAACCAUCUGUUUUUCUAUUAAUGUUCAGUUACACUUUCUGUAAACACAUGACAUGCUUACUGAUUAAAGGACUUGCGACGCAACACAUUAUAUAUUAUUUAUAUAAGCAAAGGAUUACAAGUGUGUAUAUUGUACUCAAAUUAACAGGAGUGAAGCAGAUACAAUUCAAAAUAUUGUUGACAAUGUUUUGUCACAAGCAUCGACAAAGGUCGUACACCUUGAAAGAUGUUUAUUUGGGAUAGAUCUUGCUGUCGAAGAGAUAUAUGGACAACUAGGCAUCGAGUCAGAUGAUGUUCGCGCCCUUGGAAUAUGUGGGAUGGGUGGAAUUGGGAAAACUACUAUAGCCAAGGCUUUCUACAAUAAGUAUGCCCACAAAUUUGAUGUAAGCUGUUUUAUGGAAAAUAUAAAACAAAAUUCACAAGGAGCUAGUCCUCUACGUUCUUUACUUCAAAAACUCUUGAAAGAGCUUCUCAGAGCCAAGGAUUUUGAGGUCCGUGAUGUUCAAAGUGCACUAAGAAAAUUGGGAGAAAUUCUUAGUUAUAAGAAAGCUCUGCUUGUUUUCGAUGAUUUGGACCAUUCAAGCUACUCAGACUUGCUAGUAAGGAUUUGCGAGCUGAUUUCAAAUGGUAGAGACGGUAGCAGAAUGAUAAUUACGGCAAGAGAUUUAAACCUCCCAAAUCAACUAAAAGUACAAAUGUCAAAAGUAGAUACAUAUAGGGUGAAGCAUCUGAAUGAAAUCAAUUCACUAGAGCUCUUUAGCUAUCAUGCCUUUAAACAAUCAAAGCCUCCCGGAAAAUACUUAGCUCUGUCUGAAAGUUUUGUUACUUAUGCGGGAGGCCUUCCACUAGCUCUAAAGGUGUUGGGUUCAUCUUUGCGCGGUAGGACAGAUAUGUCAUUCUGGAAAGUUAAAUUGGAAAAAGUUCAAAAAAUUCCAAUGGAAAAUAUCCAAAGGAUCCUUCAACUGAGUUACGAUGAGUUGGAAGAUAAUACACAAAAGGCUAUUUUCCUUGAUAUUGUAUUAUUCUUCCUCGGAAAGAAGAUAGAUGAGGCUGUUGAUGUAUUCAAAUCAUGUGAUUUGUUUCCGGAGUGUGGGAUACCAAUUCUAGUUGAAAGAUGUCUACUAACCGUUGAUUUCGAUAAUACGCUUCAAAUGCAUAAUCUUGUAAAGGACAUGGGAAGGAACGUUAUUGAUGAAGAAUCCAAACAUGGCAGGUGUCGGCGCUUGUACUUGGAAGGAGCAUCACAGGCUUUGCCAAAUCAGGUAAACAAAAUGCUAAAUAUUUUAUUCCUCUAUCUGAUAUACAUACAUGCUUUUUCUUAAAAUAUAAUUAUUUAACUGAAUUAUUGAAUUUUAUAUUUAAAAAAAAUUACUUUUAACCAAUAUUUAAUUUAAAUGUUUUUAACCUUAUUCAAAAGUGAUUCUGAGUACAAUUUCUUACUUUGGCUACUACCUGUUAAUGACAUUUAGGACAUGGAUAAAGUUGAAGCCCUAAUUGUAGAUUGUACAACGUCAAUCAACAAAUACUGCAAUGCCAAGCUAUUCGAAAGGUUGCCAAACCUAAGAUUAAUAAAAUUAGUUGAUGUCUAUGAUAUCAAAGGAAAUUUCAAAGCUUCAUUUGAUGAGUUGAGGUACAUCAGUUGGCAUGAUUGUCCUUGGACCCAUUUACCUUAUGGUGUUCAUCUACAAAAACUUGUUGUUUUAGACAUGCCAUUCAGCCGAUUUGAAACAUUGUGGAAGAUUGCUAAGGUAUGAAAUCAAAUAUCUUAACUAUUUCUCUCCCGCUCAUGUGUUAUAUAUACUAGCUUUAUAUGCCCUUACUUCGCACAUGUUAAGUUUUAUAUAUGAUAAAUUCUCGAAAACAACUAACUUGAUGAAUGAAUUAAUCAAGCAACAUCGUUAUACAUCGUGCCAUACAUUACGUUUCAUGGAUGAUAAUCGGCAUCACAUUCAUCAUAUUAUACUUCACUGCUAAUCACUUACUAGAAAACUUAAAAAGUAUACUAAUGAAUAAUCCUAAGUUCCUAACAUUGAGCAAAUUCUGGAAAAUAUGAACCAACCUAUUUAGAGACUCAACGAAGCAAAAUCAUGAUGGGGUAUUGUUCCAAAUUUGUUCUUCCGCUCUCUAGAAGUGCAAGGAGUGGUUNUGGAAUUGAUGGACAAAAAAAAGAAGAAAAAAACUACAAAGCAAGGUUGCUGAAGCAAGAAUACGCUAUGCAGAAACAAAGAGUUAGUUAUCCAAAAUCUGAUCAAAUGACCAUUUUUAAUCUCUUCUUUGAUGAUUUUGUAUAACCUGGUGUGUCUCCGGCUUCAUUCAAGUCAACAACAUAACAACAUUAGUCAUAAAACUAGGAUAAGUUCAUCAGUGAGGACAUAAUAAAAAUUGAGUUGUUUGAGGCUGUGAAUGAUAUGAACUUGGAGGCCCUGGAUCUGAGUGGUAAUCACUACAACAAAAACAGCAUCAGACAACGGUUUUUGCCCGUUGUCUGAUACCCAAGAAAACCGUGGUCUAUUGAGAUGCCGUCUGAUAUGCACCUCAGACAACGGUACGUACCGUUGUGUGAGAUCAAGAAACACAUCGGUUUAUGUUUUUCUGCGUGUUGUGUUACAUCCAGAAACAACAACGGAAUCAUUUAACAAGGUGUUGUUAUAAGCAAUUCACAACAACGGUCAUAUUUUCGAUUUGUGUUGUUAUUAGGAGUAUCCACAACAGUUUUUGGUUUUACUCACUUGUUAGUAAGAGUAUCAGACAAGAAUAUUUGUGUCAUAACGGCUUGUGUUUUACUACAUUGUACAACGGUCUUGUAGAAGGGGCCACUUGUGUAAGGCCCCAUAUAACAAUAGUCUGUAUAUUAGAACAAUUGUCUUGAAAGCUUUUCUACAACGUUUUUGUUUUCAGAUGCUCGAGUAAUAUUGCUUUAGACAAUGGUUUGUGACUACUAUUUACUUGUUUGUAUAUGUCUUAGACAACGGCUUUAUUCUUAAUAUUGUGUUGUUUGUAAGGCUUGGGACAACUGUUUUUUUUUUCCUUUUGUAUUUAGUUAUGUCAGACAAUGGUUUUACAUAACCUAAUUAAACUAUGCUCAAGAAUAUAAUUAAGAAGCCAUAAAUUAGUAACAAAAGUUUCCAUUACCAACUACAGUAACAAUAUACAAACACAAAUAAGUUUAGACUGCUCACAGUAGUUCUACCUAUAGAAAACAACAGAUUUAAAGAAACAAUAUCUUAAACCAGCCACAUUGCCACCCAAUUUGCUUGCAAGCACCAGUUUCUACUAACAAAAGCUCAACUAUAGAUGAUACUUAAGGAGAAAGAGGUUCAGUCUGUUGUUUUCUGCUUGUUGAACCAGCCUUUUUAUUCUUCUUCUCUAAACCAUUAAGUAAAUCACUAAGAUCGUGAACUGCAGAUUUUAGAUCUUUUACGGAGAUUCCUGUUUUUAAGAUAUGCUUCUCCCCGUUCGAAGUCCAACCAACCAAAGCAGGAAGUGAGUCAACACCUAACUUUUUCACCAUUGGAUCUGAUGUAUCAUGAACCUAUAACAUAUUUGAAUAUCAAUUAAGCACCAGAAAAAGGAGUAAAAAGAAAACAGCCUGUAAUAACCACUACCACUAUAAACAAACUAACAAGUAACUAGUCGUUACUUCUUUCAAGCUUAAAAUACAUGAUGCUCAAUAUCUACAUAAAGUAUUAAUAAAAACUAUAAUCUUUAUUCUAGGCAAGAAGGGUGCCAUUAUGCGGACUUUGUAGGCUUUAAAAAUUACCAGUCAUGGUAGGUUCCAAUCAGGACCUGUUAUAGACUAUUGGAAACUAUACAUUACAUCAGUGCCUUGAUAGGCUCCUCAAAACAAGGAUUUAAAUCAUACAUAUCUUGACUAAUACAGGAAAUCUAUAUUUUAGGUAACUGCCUUUGAAUCAAUUAUACAAUAUGGUAUGACUAAUAAUUAUUUGCCCACACUACUUUCCAACACCCUUGUACCUAAUCUGAUAGAGAGUGUUGCAGCACCAGUAAUUCACUUGUGAUCUAUGAGGAGUAGGAAUAAUAUUCACGUACAUACAUUUUAUACAAAAUAUAUAGGUUCACAAGGAAUAGAGCUUACUAGAUAUCAAGAGCAAAAAUCUGUGUGAGGUUUGAAAUACAUUUGGUUGACACUGAUAUCAACAUGUUUAAAUGAACUAAGAGUACACCAUACUUACCUAUAACUUGAACUUGGAAAAUAAUAUAAUGACAAGUAUAAAUUAAUUAUAAUAUCACUUACCAGUUAAUUGUGUGGACUGAUAUAUUAAAAUGUCACACACUCAAUGGUUCUGAGUAAAAUUUCAGCAGGGGCUCCUCCCCCAAUUUGUGUCACUUACACAUGUAUGCUAUUAGCAAUACUUCAGGCCAUUUGGGAAGGGAAGGUAGUGCUAGCUACGCUUCCCAGAAGGUUGAAACACAAGGUAAGCAAAAUAAUCAAUCUGGCAGCCAUAUAAUCAGAAUUUACAAAGAGCACUUUAAAAUGAUAUAGCCAAAGUGAAAACUUAACUUAAUUUUGUUUAUAUAAUACCUGGUAUUCUUCUCAAUUCAUCACUAGUGCUUAUACUUCAAUAUCAUUCCGGUAAACAACAAAGUGAAAUAUUUAUCAAUAAUAAUAAGUAAAAGAUGAGCUCAUGACAAAGAGGAAAACAAGGGAUCUAAAUUUAGCAGAGAAAACAAGAGUGAAUAGUUAGCACUGCCUACUUUUGGCUUAUAUGUUGUCUCCUUUGCUUCACAUAGACUUUCAUAUUUACAUAUAGUAUUUACAGAAGCAGUAAGAUUUGGCAAGCAUAAUAUAAAACACACACAUUCUGUGGUGUGGGAACAAUUAUUGACACAUUCAUACUCAAUAUGCAAUUGAUUAAAAAAAUAUAAAUUGAGAAUCUAGGGUUUGGACCUGCAAAAGCAGAAUGAAGAUGCGAAUCAAAUUCUUAUUCUCCUUUAGCUGCUUCAGAGAAUCAACACACUCCACUUACAAAGCAAGCCAAAAACAACUGUUAGUAUGUAAAACAAAUCCUAAUCACAAACAAAAAGAGGAUAAAGAGAAGAGAGACAUCGAGAGAGAAGAGAAGAAAGAGCCGAACAGAGAAGAGAGACAACGAGAGAGAUUAUUGGAGAGAGAGAAGAGAAUAGAGCUAGAUGGCCAGAGAGAGAAGAGAAGAGAGACCCGUGAGAGGGAGAAGAGAAGAGAGACCCCUGAGAGAGAGAAGCAUAAAGGGGGAAGCCGGUAAGGGAAUAUGAUGCAAGAGCAAACUUCCCUUGUUUCCAUAGCUUCUCUGGUGUACUGUGUUCACCUUCGACAUACUAAUUGGAGAUGUAGAAGAAGAAAGAUACAAAGAGAGGAAGAGGGAAACCAAAAUUUGAGUUUAACGCUAGAGGGGGAAACGAAAAUUUGGGAUUGCUGGGGGACCAAAAAUUAUUUGGGGAAAAUGACAUGGCUUGUCUCCAAAGCUGAGAUACCAAAUGGAAUUAUAAAUAAUAAAAAUAUUAUAUUUUAAUAUAUUGUGAAGUUGAAUUAUUGAAAAAAUGAAUUCUUUUCAAGUAUUUAUUUAUAGUUGAUUAUCAAAAUAUCAUAAAAAUAGAUUUUUAAAUAUAUAAACAGUUAGUGGUAUAAAAAAUAAAUAUUUUAUACUUAUCUUAUAUGAUCAUUUACAAAAAUAUAGUAUGAUUAUUGUGUCUAGUAAACAAAAUAAUUGAUCCUAGUAAUUGUUGAUGUAGAAAUAUAAGAAAAUUUGAACUAACAAUAUUAGUCAUGCAUUAAAAAAUUAAUUUUUUUAUGAUUAUUUUGUAUGUUUUUUUAACAACAAUAGUUAAUCGUAAAAUUUUUCUUAUUAUAAAAAGGUAAUUUUUAUGAGUUAAAAAUUCGCACUUCCUUGAUUAAUUAUUGUUUUUGCACUCUUUGUAUUAAAAAAUAUAUUUAUGUUAUGUAUAUAUGCAAAUAUGUAUUGUUCAUGUGUAAAACCAAGACAAUUUUGUACUUCGGACGCAUGUAUUAGUAUGUGUUUUAUGUUUACAAUUUAAAAAGUAGUAGAUAUAAUCUUUGUUAUGUAUUCAAUUAGUUUUGUAUUAAUUUAUAAAUAUUUAUUUCAAUGAUCUAACCGUACGGAUGUCAAGAACUAACAAUAUUAGUCAUGUAUAAAAAAAAUAUAAAAAUUUUAUGUUUAUUUUGUAUGUUUUUUUAACAAUACUAGUCAAUUGUAAAUUUUGUCUUAUUUGUGAAAAGGUAUUUUUUGUCCUGUAGUGUCUACAGACAACGGUUUUUAUAAGCACAUAUGUUGUAUAAAAAUAGUGUAGACAACGGUUUAUAGAAAGGAAACCGUUGUACAAUAAAUUAUCAUUUUUAAGAGUAAAAAAUUCGUAUUUCCCGGAUCAAUUCUUGUUUUCGUACUCCAUGGCUUAACAAAUAUAGUUAUAUUAGGCAUAUUUGCAAAUUUCUAUUGUUUAUUUGUACUAUAAAGAUAAUUUUGUAAUUCGGACGUGAGUGUUAGUAUGUGUUUUAUGUUUACAAUUUAGAAAGUACUGGAUAGAUACUUUGUUAUGUAUACGAUUAACUCUGUAUUAAUUUAUAAAAAAUUUAUUUUGAUGAUCUAACCGUACGGAUGUCAAGAAAUAACAAAAUUAGUCAUGUAUAAAAAAAAUCAAAAUUUUUUAUGUUUAUUUUGUAUGUUUUUUAACAAUACUAGUCAAUUGUAAAUUUUGUCUUAUUGUAAAAAGGUAUUUUUUGUCAUGUAGUGUCUAACAGACAAUGGUUUUUCUACGCACCUAUGUUGUAUAAUUGAAAAUGACACAACUGUUACUGAAGUUAUACCGUUGUAACAGAAUCCAUUGUCUAAAUUAUGCUCAAACAACGCUUCAUGGAAAAUCCGUUGUAUAAAAGUAGUGUAGACAACGGUUUAUGGGAAGGAAGCCGUUGUAUAAUAAAUUUUCAUUUUUAUGAGUUAAGAAUCCGCAUUUCCUUGAUCAAUUCUUGUUUUUGUACUCUUUGUAUUAAAAUAUAUAUAUUUAUAUUAUGCAUAUAUGCAAAUAUGUAUUGUUCAUUUGUUAUACCAAGAUAAUUUUGUACUUCGGACGUAAGUAUUAGUAUGUGUUUUAUGUUUACAAUUUAUAAAGUACUGGAUAGAAUCUUUGUUAUGUAUAAGAUGAGCAUAAUAUUAAUUUUUAAAUAUUUUUUUCGAUGAUCUAACCGUACGGAUGUCGAGAACUAACAAUAUUAGUCAUGUAUAAAAAAAAUCUAAAUUUUUUAUAUUUAUUUUGUAUGUUUUCUUAACAUUACUUGUUAAUUGUAAAUUUUGUCUUAUUAUAAAAAGGUAUUUUUUGUCCUGUAGUGUCUAACACACAACAGUUUUUAUAAGCAUCUAAGUUGCAUCAUUGAAAAUGACACAACGAUUUAUGGGAAGAAAACCGUUGUAUAAUAAACUUUCAUUUUUAUGAGUUAAAAAUUCGCAUUUCCUUGAUCAAUACUUGAUCUAAUGCUAGAAAAGCCUAUGACUACUAAGAAAAUGAAUAUAUUUUUGUAACUUUGGUUAGGACUUUUGAAUGUUUGCACUCUUUUAUGUACAUUUAUUUUCCUCUAAGUCAUUCAGUCAGACAACGUUUUACUAGCUAAAGGCUUGUCUAUAAGGCCAUGAUACGAUGCUAACAAAAACACUUGUAUGUUAGCUUCCCAGUCACACAACACUCUAUGGAACCCUUGUCUGACCUUUUCGUAAACAACACAACAAAUAAAACACUUGUCUCAUUACAACAACGGUUUCUCAGAAUAUUGUCUGAAGUUUCUUCACACAUCGGCUCUAAAAACAGUUGUCUAACAUGCAUCAUUACACAAUACCACAAUUAAGAGACCGUUGUCUAAUUAAAUUUAUUAGACAAGAGUUUUUUAACCGUUGUAGGUCGUAGGUGUUAGACAAUAGUUUUUCGAGGACGAAAAUAAAAUGUUGUGUCUUUGUUUCGGCCAACACUUUUUUCAGCGUCCGUUGUCUGACUAGUGUUGUCUGAUGCCAGUUUUGUUGUAGUGAAUAUAAGAGUUGGUUUGCCCAUGAUUUUAAGCUUCUCUUCUCUGAGAUCAUUACAUCUCCGUGACAAGUGCGGAAGUCCUUCACCAACCAAACCCUUUAGCUUAUUUCAGCUUUUCAACCUGAAAGAACUUUGGUUGACUGACUGUACAAGUCAUGGGUCCUGCUUUCCCGAACUACCACCGAAUUUAGAAUGGUUGUAUAUAUGUAGAAAACCACGCUUCACUGGAGCAAGUACCUGAUUCGUCCUACCUCAAACACUUGAAGACUAUGAACAUAAUGAGAUGCUGCAGCCUUCAAUCUCUCCACAAACUUCCACCUCAUCUUGAAUCCCUUACAGUUAGAGAUUGUACAAGCCUACAAGACUUUCCAGAUCUGCCGGAGUUGAGAGAUUUAAAACACCUGGAUAUUUAUUGCAAUGGCAGCAAUUUAGAAGUCAGUUUAGAGGAGAAUCACCUUCAGGUUAGUGUUAUAUAGUUUAUUAUUUCAGGAAAAUGUUGUAUAAUUACAAAGCUUAAAAUUGGAUAUUUAUUGGAAUUGAACAUUUACACCAAAUCAUAGCGUUUAUUCGACUUGGUAUAUAUAUUUCUUGAUAUGCAAAUUUUUUGGCAAUUUUUUUAAUGAUGUCUUAUUUAUGUAAAUAUCCAUGAAAUAUGUUCAGGUAUUUGUAAGAUUUAGCGAUUAAUAGAGAUUAUUAUUAGACGUGCUUUAUCAAUUCAAUUUAAAAAUUUUGAUUAAUCAUUUUAUAUCAUUCUCAUUUCAUACAUAUAAUAGAGUGGGUGUACACCGCUUCAUAUGAGAUGAAAUAUCGAUAAUGAGUAAAGAUAAAUAUGAUUUCUUUUAGUUUAGGUUUCCCUUUCCAAUAGCAGUGAAGGUGUGUGGGGCUAAAUAACUAGAAAAAUAGAAAUAUUUAUAUAAAUAUCAAUCUACUAUCUACUAUAUUUAUUAUACGAGAACACGUCUUUUGCCGGAGCAAAUUUAUUCACUUGAAAUGACAUACUUGCCCUUCCAAACCUGCAUAAAUGUUAACUUUGAACAAAUUUAUCUAUUGUAAAGGACAUAUUUAUCCUUCCAGAUCUGCUUCCGGACCUGGCCAUCUCCACUAAAAACCCUUCACUCCCGAGUCCCAACUUCAAUUCUCAUCUCAGUGUCUCUCAGAUUAUACAAUGAACGACAUGUCCAUCUCUGUUUGGCUGCUCCUCCCCCUCCCGUGCACCGGGUGCGUCACUCACCUUCUUUUUUGAUAAGGGCUAUUCUGCAUCUCCUACCUCUCCCACCUGAAGCUACAAACUCAUAUCUAUACAUGGUCACUUCUGUGCUUAUCUUCACUGGCAAAGUGUAUGACCGUGGUCUUCAAUAAAUUUAUAGGAAUGGGUUUGGUGGAAUUGUAAAAGUAAUUGCAAAUUUUUAGGUUUUAGGAUAUAGAGCUUACUUGCAAACCCUGGCUUUGGAUCUCUUCAGAGCUGCAAAAGCGUUGAAUUUGCUUCUACUGUCUUCGUUUCCAACAAUGUACAAGUUGCAAUCAUGCUUAAUGCCAAGGCAAGUUUUAUUCAUUUCCUAAAAUAUGUAUAGACAGGUUCUAUUUGUCAAAAAAAAAAAAAGGAUAAUCAAACGUUUCGACUUUGCACGACUAGUCUCAUUCUUAGUGUGAGUCUAUAUAUCAUAUCUAUGCUACUAUGUUUAGUGAAUUACCAGUUCUAAGUGUGCAUCUUGGGCCCUCUGACAUUUUGUAAAGGGAGCGAGAGAGAUACCAUAAUGAUGCAUAUUCUAGCUUAUGACUUUAACUUAUAUCAUGCCCCAGAGGUUAGGAGUGGUGCCUUGCGUCAACCAUUAAUUUUAUUACCUGGACAAGAAUUCACAUUUACAAUUAGAAGAGGGGUCGGGACUACUGAUUGUGUCAGUGUUAAUUAUGAUGAUUUUGCUAAUGAUGUUGAUGCCGGAGAUAUGCUUCUCGUUGAUGGUAAGUCAUAAAUCAUAAUGCCCUAUAUCUUCUUUCCAUUAGCUGUAUAAUCUGAGUUACCAUUGCAAUUAUUAUUUUUCUAGUGUCGUAACCAUACUACAUGCUUGAAAUUGCUUUCUACUUUUAGUCGGUCAGAUUUCUAUGUCAGAUUUCUAUGUGAAGCAUAAGCAUGCAGGCCACUUGGAUCAUGGGAUUUGACCCCGUAAAUGGGAAUGGGAAUAAGAAAUACAUUUUGUAGUGCAAACUCAUUCCUAUUCUUGUUAUCAGGAUUUAAAUCUCAUGAUCCAAAUAGCACUUUCGUAACAAUAUUGUAAGCAGGCAGCGAGCUGAGCAGCUAAUCAUCUGGCAUUGUGUAAUGCAGCAUAAUUCUAAUAAGCAGUGUUUCUUAUGGUUUUAUAAAUUAGUCUCUAUAUUACUUUAUAAGUUGGUACGUGGAGGUUAAAAUACUUUGUCGAUUAACAUUAAAGAUCCUGAUGUAAUAUUUACAAAUUAAAAUGCUUUAGACAAUUUUUGCCGUUAUUUUUAUGAAAGAAAAUAGAUUAACUUUAAUUGUAUUAGUGUGUCACUGCAUCUGCUCUAUGUUGUAGAUGGUAUGAUGCAUUAGUGGUCAAGUGCAAAGAUGAAGAUUUGGUCAAGUGUGAAGUUGUUGACGGAAGCGAGCUCAAAUCAAGAAGACAUCUAAAUGUCCGCGGGGAAAGUGCUACAUUGCAAUCCAUUACUGGUUAGCCCUUUACACCUAAAAUGAUUUCUAUAUCUAUGUACAUGUUUUUCUUUUUAACUUUGGGUGAUAGCUGUACAUGAUAUACUAACUUGUUCUACUGAUGUUCAUUGUAACAGAAAAAGACUGGGAUAAUAUUAAGUUUGGAAUGGACAAUAAAAUUGACUUCUAUGCAGUUUCUUUUGUUAAAGAUGCUGAGGUGGUACAUGAAUUGAAGGCCUACUUAAAAAGUAAAUUUAUUUUAGAUAUUAUGACCUCAAACUGUCAUCAUAGCACUGAUGUAUCCUACUUGAGCUCUAACUAUACUCAUGUUUUUUAAUUUCUUUGAUGGGUUGUGGUGUGGAUAUACAUGUUAUUUCAAAAAUUAAAAGUGCAGAUUCCAUACCAAACUUGCAAUCUAUCAUUGCAGCAUCUGAUGGGGUAUAUCAUAUUUUUAUCUGUUUAAAUUGGCCUUUGAGCUGUUAAUUGGUUAAAUUUGGGCCUUCGCUGGAAAUGUAUGAAUAAUUUACUUAUGUAAUUCAUCACCGGAUUCAAAAAAGAUAUUCAAAAUUAUGUUGGAUCCUUUGUGUUAUAGUUUGCCCUAAAUGUUAAGAUCCCUAACAUUAUGCGCUAAAAGUAGUAUUAUGUUGCUCCUUUCAGGCCAUGGUUGCUAGAGGAGAUCUUGGUGUCGAGCUUCCAGGUGACGAGGUUCCUUCAUUGCAGGUAUAAAUACAGUUGCUAUUUUUAAUGGCCAAAAGUGAGCAUAUAGAGUGACCUAUGUUGCUGAUUUCAUUCAAUAUACCGGAAUUGACUUUUUAGUCCCUCAUGGAGAGAUAAUUCGGUUGUAUCGUAGUAUGGGAAAAGCUUUUAUAGUGGCAACAAAUAUGUUAGAAAUCAUGAUUGUUCAUCAACACCUAAGCGAGCUGAGGUAUUAAUAGACAUUGCAAUAGCUGUUAAAGAGGGUUCUGAUGCAGUUAUUCCUUCCGGAGAAACCGCCCAUGGGAAAGUAAGUCAUUUUGUAUGAAUCUUCGUGUUGCAAGUACAUUAUUUUGUGUCAAAUUGCUAGACCUGUUCAUGCAAGUGGAGGCCAAUACAAUAGAAGACCAAUAUAAUAAAAGCUACCGUAUUGUGUAUUACUGGAUUUCUUCUAUUUGUGAUGUUUUAUCAUACAAGGAAUUUCUUAAUUUUAUAAAUAUGUCCUAAUUAUCUAGAGGAUAGGUUUAUUUGGAAGAUAAGUAAAUAACUAAUUAGCUACUGUUCUUGUUUAUGUAUUAUUUAGCUUAUUGUCUUCUCUACUAAAAACUCUUGCAUCCUUUUUCUAAAAGCUCCUGUAAGUCCUGGUUUAUGAGUUUUUGCAAGUUUUUCAAUUUUACCCACAUAUGUGAGUCAAGAUAGAAAAUAAGACCGAGAAGAAUGCAUAAAUUAUUCUUAUUUGUAAUUCUCUUUAUAAUUGCAGCUCUCAUAUGUAUUUGUAUUAGUUUUCCUGUAAGAGUAGAAAUAUGUUUUAUCGAAUAUUUGUGUGCGAGUUAAUUUGUAAUGAUAAACAUAAUGUGAUGUCACCUAUCNNNNNNNNNNNNNNNNNNNNNNNNNNNNNNNNNNNNNNNNNNNNNNNNNNNNNNNNNNNNNNNNNNNNNNNNNNNNNNNNNNNNNNNNNNNNNNNNNNNNNNNNNNNNNNNNNNNNNNNNNNNNNNNNNNNNNNNNNNNNNNNNNNNNNNNNNNNNNNNNNNNNNNNNNNNNNNNNNNNNNNNNNNNNNNNNNNNNNNNNNNNNNNNNNNNNNNNNNNNNNNNNNNNNNNNNNNNNNNNNNNNNNNNNNNNNNNNNNNNNNNNNNNNNNNNNNNNNNNNNNNNNNNNNNNNNNNNNNNNNNNNNNNNNNNNNNNNNNNNNNNNNNNNNNNNNNNNNNNNNNNNNNNNNNNNNNNNNNNNNNNNNNNNNNNNNNNNNNNNNNNNNNNNNNNNNNNNNNNNNNNNNNNNNNNNNNNNNNNNNNNNNNNNNNNNNNNNNNNNNNNNNNNNNNNNNNNNNNNNNNNNNNNNNNNNNNNNNNNNNNNNNNNNNNNNNNNNNNNNNNNNNNNNNNNNNNNNNNNNNNNNNNNNNNNNNNNNNNNNNNNNNNNNNNNNNNNNNNNNNNNNNNNNNNNNNNNNNNNNNNNNNNNNNNNNNNNNNNNNNNNNNNNNNNNNNNNNNNNNNNNNNNNNNNNNNNNNNNNNNNNNNNNNNNNNNNNNNNNNNNNNNNNNNNNNNNNNNNNNNNNNNNNNNNNNNNNNNNNNNNNNNNNNNNNNNNNNNNNNNNNNNNNNNNNNNNNNNNNNNNNNNNNNNNNNNNNNNNNNNNNNNNNNNNNNNNNNNNNNNNNNNNNNNNNNNNNNNNNNNNNNNNNNNNNNNNNNNNNNNNNNNNNNNNNNNNNNNNNNNNNNNNNNNNNNNNNNNNNNNNNNNNNNNNNNNNNNNNNNNNNNNNNNNNNNNNNNNNNNNNNNNNNNNNNNNNNNNNNNNNNNNNNNNNNNNNNNNNNNNNNNNNNNNNNNNNNNNNNNNNNNNNNNNNNNNNNNNNNNNNNNNNNNNNNNNNNNNNNNNNNNNNNNNNNNNNNNNNNNNNNNNNNNNNNNNNNNNNNNNNNNNNNNNNNNNNNNNNNNNNNNNNNNNNNNNNNNNNNNNNNNNNNNNNNNNNNNNNNNNNNNNNNNNNNNNNNNNNNNNNNNNNNNNNNNNNNNNNNNNNNNNNNNNNNNNNNNNNNNNNNNNNNNNNNNNNNNNNNNNNNNNNNNNNNNNNNNNNNNNNNNNNNNNNNNNNNNNNNNNNNNNNNNNNNNNNNNNNNNNNNNNNNNNNNNNNNNNNNNNNNNNNNNNNNNNNNNNNNNNNNNNNNNNNNNNNNNNNNNNNNNNNNNNNNNNNNNNNNNNNNNNNNNNNNNNNNNNNNNNNNNNNNNNNNNNNNNNNNNNNNNNNNNNNNNNNNNNNNNNNNNNNNNNNNNNNNNNNNNNNNNNNNNNNNNNNNNNNNNNNNNNNNNNNNNNNNNNNNNNNNNNNNNNNNNNNNNNNNNNNNNNNNNNNNNNNNNNNNNNNNNNNNNNNNNNNNNNNNNNNNNNNNNNNNNNNNNNNNNNNNNNNNNNNNNNNNNNNNNNNNNNNNNNNNNNNNNNNNNNNNNNNNNNNNNNNNNNNNNNNNNNNNNNNNNNNNNNNNNNNNNNNNNNNNNNNNNNNNNNNNNNNNNNNNNNNNNNNNNNNNNNNNNNNNNNNNNNNNNNNNNNNNNNNNNNNNNNNNNNNNNNNNNNNNNNNNNNNNNNNNNNNNNNNNNNNNNNNNNNNNNNNNNNNNNNNNNNNNNNNNNNNNNNNNNNNNNNNNNNNNNNNNNNNNNNNNNNNNNNNNNNNNNNNNNNNNNNNNNNNNNNNNNNNNNNNNNNNNNNNNNNNNNNNNNNNNNNNNNNNNNNNNNNNNNNNNNNNNNNNNNNNNNNNNNNNNNNNNGGAGAAACCGCCCAUGGGAAAGUAAGUCAUUUUGUAUGAAUCUUCGUGUUGCAAGUACAUUAUUUUGUGUCAAAUUGCUAGACCUGUUCAUGCAAGUGGAGGCCAAUACAAUAGAAGACCAAUAUAAUAAAAGCUACCGUAUUGUGUAUUACUGGAUUUCUUCUAUUUGUGAUGUUUUAUCAUACAAGGAAUUUCUUAAUUUUAUAAAUAUGUCCUAAUUAUCUAGAGGAUAGGUUUAUUUGGAAGAUAAGUAAAUAACUAAUUAGCUACUGUUCUUGUUUAUGUAUUAUUUAGCUUAUUGUCUUCUCUACUAAAAACUCUUGCAUCCUUUUUCUAAAAGCUCCUGUAAGUCCUGGUUUAUGAGUUUUUGCAAGUUUUUCAAUUUUACCCACAUAUGUGAGUCAAGAUAGAAAAUAAGACCGAGAAGAAUGCAUAAAUUAUUCUUAUUUGUAAUUCUCUUUAUAAUUGCAGCUCUCAUAUGUAUUUGUAUUAGUUUUCCUGUAAGAGUAGAAAUAUGUUUUAUCGAAUAUUUGGGUGCGAGUUAAUUUGUAAUGAUAAACAUAAUGUGAUGUCACCUAUCAGGAUAGAUAUAUUGCUCAAUUCUCUUACAAUCACUUGCAGGCACUUUAUCAUGCCCUCCCAAUGGACCACAUUACUGGUUCCGAGCUUCACAACAAGCUCGAAGGAGAAAUCAACUAGACCGCUGUGCCUAAGCUAAUUGAUAAGAUGACAAAAGAAGGCUUCGUUGAAGCUCAAAGCAAUAAAAGACUUGGUAUGAGAACUUAGCAUUAAAAUUACUUUCAGUGCAUGAAUCAGAUUUGUUGGUCGAUGUUUACAUAUUCCUUUUAUUUCUGAGGCAAGCGUUGAUCCAUUCUGAUCUGAAUGAGAAAAAAUUGCAUGAAGUCAAGGAAUGAGAUGGUGGAAGUUCUUUCGGCACAUUAUAAAUGCAAGUUUCUUUAAUUUUCCUGUAAACAGAUUUUCAAAUUAUGUCGAUAGGAGCUGGAUGAGCCGCAAAGGAAGCUGAACCACUCAGAACUUCAGACAAUUGGUACAUAUUUGAUCAAAUAAUUACUAUUCUAAUUUGAAAUAAAUGAUUCAAUACUUUAAGUAUGUAAUGGUAACCUAAAAGCAAACAGAGGAACUUGUCUACUUGUGACGGAGUUCGCUCCAUUUGAUCAGAUCUAACUUGCAUGAUAGGUGUAAAGCAUAAUGUAACGUAAAUGUAAUUACGAUAACUCAACACAACAAAAGACAGGAAACAAUACAUAAGUAUUAUACAGGAAUCUACAGGUUGGAGAUUCGAUACGAACAGACAAAGACAAUCAAGAUAUCUGAGACGAGCAUCCGUCCACUGGAAGAAGUUCAUUAACAUGUUCAAGCCUCAGUGAAGAAUAAAGUUCAAUAUGUUUCUGCUAUCAAGAUUGCCUGAAGAUCAAGUAUCAAAGACCAGAAGAUUCCAGUAUAUUUAAUUUGAUUAUUUAUAAUCAAAUUUAUCGAAGCAACAUCUGACCCGGAAUGACUGAUCAAGUAUAUUAUCAAGCAAAAGAAUUCAAGAAAUUAUUUCAGUUCGAGUCGUUCGUGAACCAGACCAGUGCACAGGACGACAGGACGUACGAAAGUAUUCAGUGAAUUCGAUCAACCAAUUAAUUGAUCAAGUCAAUCGAGCUGCUCUAGAAUAUAUAUUGCCAAAGAACUUAUUAACAUGUAUAUGUGUAUAUAUAUAUAUUAAUUGUGAAUUACUUGAAUAUAAAUAAUUCAAGUAAUUAAUUAAACACAAUUAGUUCUAUAUAUAUAUAUAUAUAUAAUAAGUGAUGCAAGUAUGUAAGUCAAGAAAUGGUCUAAGUACACUAUAGGGGAGGCGCCAACAUUGUUGAAGCGCAAACUUUGACUAAGUCAAAGUUUGCGCCUCAAUAACCUUCUAACACUUAGAUUUUCUAAGUACACACAGUGCUCUACAGUGGAGUCAUCACUGCAAUGAGCGCAACCUUUGACUAAGUCAAAGGUUGCGACUCCCAUCCACUUCACUAGAGCAACUACUGGAAUUGUUCUAAGUCAUAUCUACUGUGACACUGUGGAAGCUCUUGUGAGCGCAACCUUUGACUCUAAGUCAAAGUUUGCGCCUCACUCUCACCUUGGGGCAAAGUGCAAGUUUCUUGAAGAUUGUCUAAGUGCCACUACAGUGAAGCAAUGUUGAGGCGCCAUGUUUGACCUCCUGGAAGCGCAACCUUUGACCACUUAUAUGUGUACACAUAUAUAAAUAUCCAAGCGCAAGUUUGUGAUAUAUAUAUGUGUAUAUAUAUGUGUAAUUGGCGCCACUUCAAGUGCUGAGGAGUUAGAUUUAUUUUUAUAAAUCGAAUCCGUCCAGGACGAACUCAAGUCGUCCAGGACGAACUCGUUAACCAUGAUUAGUUGUUGGAAAGUCUAUAAAUAGAGGUUGAUGUUUAGGGGUGGCAAUUUCGGGUAACGGGUCGUGUUCGUGUCAGCAAUCGGGUCGAUUUCGGGUCAACCUAAAAUCACUUAAAAUUGAAUAAAACCAAAAAUUGAAGUUAUUACAAAUGAAAUUCUAGUUUCGGGUCAUUUCGGGUCCAUUUCGGGUCUGUCGGGUGAUUUUCGGGUCACUUUCGGGUUUCUGUCUCAGUAAAUCGGGUUUCGGGUUGGGUCGGGUUCGUGUCGGGUUUCGGGUCGUGUCUGAUAUUGCCACCCCUAGAUGUUUUCAUUUGAAAAUAACUACACACUUUGUAAGUGCACACACUAUACACAUUCUCGAGAGUUAAAUUAGAAUAUCGUUUUUAUCGAGAGUUUGUAAUAGAGUGAUUGUAGUCUCUGCAGCCGACACUUGUGUUGGAAUUUGUAGCACCCGAGGAUUAUUUCUAAUACAAAGAAUAUUCCCCGACUUGCUGGAGUUAUUUAUUUACGAUUGAUUUAACAUGGACUGAAACAGAAUUAUCCGCAAUUAAAUUAAAUCGAAGAAACUGGUAAGACGUAUUCAACCCCCCCCUUCUACGUCUGAUUGGACCUAACAAUAGGCAAGUCUGAUGCCUAUCAAAACGGAUCCGUCAAGAGUGACCAUACUGUUGUAAAGAUGAAAGAGCAUGGAAUCCCCAAAAGCAGAGCUCAGGUUUGUCUGGUCAACAAUUGCCUUAAAUUACCAAGUAAAAGAUGUUUUGCUUUCUGAUUUUCUAUGUUUAGUGACCCAAAAUCCUGUAAUCUGACUUCUUUUAAUCAUGCAGCCAGCAGCUUCUAAAAGAGUUUUGCACAAGUAAUAGAAUUUGGCAGAACCAAUGGAAAUCGUGACAAUUGCAGUUAGUUUGAUGCAAUCAUGUGUAGCAAGUCGUCGUCUCAAAGCAAGCGGUCCAGGAAAGUGCUGUAAGCUUCCAACCAUGACGGUGUUUUUAUAUUAAGUUAAUUGUCAUCAGCCAUUAAAGAGGUUCAAUGUUAAGAUUAAUACUCCAUGUAUACACACCCAAAAAUUAUCAUUUUAUGAUUUCAAAUUUUUGCCUGUAUAUCCCCCAUUUUCGUUAUUUAUAUGUAUCUACCCUUAAGCCUCAGGAUAAGAGCUUUCGGUGCAGAGCAGAAUGGGAACAUAACAAUAAAAUCACAUAUUUUUAUUACAUUAAUGACCAAUCAACCUGAUUUAUGGAACAAAAGUAAUCUUAAACGACUCUUUUGUAGAGACUUAAUUUCCCUUUUUUUUUGACAGGUCAAGGAUCCUAUCCUUUAGUACCUAAGAAUGAGAAGUCUCAAGUCGUCUGAAAAGAAUCGGAUCAUAUGGCCUGAUAAUUUCCACAGUUUCUUUCCACUAAUUCCUAUUUCAUGAGACAUAGACUUGUCUACUGCAUGUAUCACUUGAAUUAGCUUUUUUCCUUUCUUUGUCGAUCAGUAUUUUUACGCAGUAUACAUUCUCUCCCAUUUUAUACGACACCCCGUCUACUGAGCAUUUUUGUGUCUCUUUUUAAAAAUAAGUGAUUCAUAGUUUCAUACCAGGCCCGUGCCUCUUAUUAAUAAAGACUUGUCACUUUUGCUUAUCUUAUAUUAUGUUUUUGUUAUUCUUUCUCUACAUCUUGGUCAUAUUCUUUGGAAUUAUUUCUUAUGGAUUCCUCCUUUAAGCAAAUCCCUUUUAGUAGAGCCAGCUCGUGUCCUCAUUACUCUUAGGUACAUUUAUGUUAAAGGCUAAUUUUCAACCUAAACGACUCUAUGCUUUCAUUGAUCCCUGGCUCUUGAUUGAUUUAUACAGGAUUGUGUUUGGGAACACACAAUUCCUUUCAAAUGAUGGGUUUUCAGUAACAUCAGUUGAAUUGUCAUCUUAAAUUCUUUAACUUUGACAUGCUUAUAUAUGAAUGCCUUGGAAUUGAACUAAAUCCAACUUCUUUUUGUUAUACACAACUGUCAUUUGUACCAAAUCCAGAAUUUGAACUGAACUCCAAGUUCCCAAACAAGCAAGAUAACGUAUCAGUAGUUAUAAAGGAAUAUUACUAGCGCUCGGGGUACCUGCUUCAUAGUCUGUCUAAUUGUUUGCGGAGUUUUUGGGAACACUUAUGUAAUACACAAACACACAUAUGUAUAGGCAACAAUGUACAUAUAUUUUUAAUCACAUGUUGCUUGUAACGAAUGGAUUAUUACCAGUCUGUAUUCUGUAAUAGUUUUUUUUCAUACUUGUUCAUAUUUUCUGGGUGACUGUUAUAUGUAUUGGUAUGAAGUGCUAAUUAGAUCAAAAGGCUAUGAGAUAGUGCAUGCAACAUUGGAUUAAAGAAAAACCUUAUUGUAGUACAUUUUACAUCUAAUUUUCUUUGUUGAACAGGGUGUGCAGGCCUGCAGUUUCGGCAUGCAGAAUGGAAAUUGCAAAUCCAGUCAAUACUUGCAAGUUUGAUCAUCCAGCGGCUGCUUCAGAUACCAUACACCAUCUUCACCUUCAAUGACAUAGCUAAAUGCUCAUGUGUUUUAGGUGUACUAGGGUGUAAACUGGAUCCUCAUUAAACUUAGCUUACAUUAUUGGAAUUUGGAAACACAGCAAGAUGAUACAGCUUUUACAUAUUGAAUGUCCAGCUCUACCGUCAAACUAUCUGGUCUUGAACAUUGAGUGGCAGCAGAAGGAAAUUUCGACAUCAAGCUACAACUGUACAAAGUGCUGCUAAAUAUAUUACAGAGUUAAGGUCUUGUAUUUUAAUGCAAUCUCCUGUCUUCCUUCCGUUGGGCGGUGCAUUUAUAUUGUAUAUAUUUUCUCCAGCUUCAUAUAACAUUUUUUUUAUUGAGCAUGUUUCUAUAGAUCAUGUUUUGUGUACAAUAAAAUUAAUAUGUGUUUCAUACUAGGCCCGUGCCUUGCACGGGCACCAAUGCUAGUUUUUAAUAAAUUAUGUAAAAAAUACUGUCAAGAAGAAUUUUUUUCUUAAAAUUACAAUUUUUUGCAGAUUAUUUACAAAAAUAUGACUUAUAAUAAUUUGUAAAUGUUGCAUGAGGUUGUAUAAGUUGUUAUUUGCAACUUUUGUAAAAUGAAGUUGUAGAAGUUGCAAGUCUCACCUUCUUCUCCUACUGCUUCGUUCACGCAAUUGGGUUUCUUCACCUUCCUUCACGGAAAUCCGAACUUUCAGUGACCUCUGACUUGUUCGUCUUUCUGGUCAUCACAAUCAAAUCAAAGAAAUACACACACAUGAUCAGUUGGAUUAUCAAAGUGACAUUGUGCUUAUUCGAAUCAUUGAUCUUCUGUCAUUCAUACGGUUUUGAACUUUAAUGCUGUAUAUAUUAACUCUUUUUCUUCAAUUAAUUGGCCCCAUAAGAGAGUUUCACGAUAGUUUUGAGUUGAAUCAGUGGCUGGCAUUUACAAAAAUAUGACUUGCAACUUCUACAACCUCAUUUGUAACAUCAUUUCUCAAUUGUUGCACAUGAGAUUGCAUAAGUUACGAAUGAAAUUUCUUAUUUACAAUGGUUGCAAAAUGAUGUUGUAGCCUUCAAUCUCCCCAGAAACUUCCACCUCAUCUUUCAUACUUAUAAGACUAUAAGACUUUCCAAAUUUGUCAAUGUUGAGAGAUUUAGAACAACCGGAAGUUAUUCACAACGGCAGCAAUUUGAAAAAUCAGUUUAGAGGAUAAUCACCUCUAGGCUAGUGAUGAUGUUGGUCUUUCUCUUCCAAUAAUACUCGGUGCGUAUUAAAUCCAUUCUCUUUCAUGUUUAGAGAUUUGGGCUGUGUUCACUUAAAUUGAAUGGAAUGACAAGAAAAUUGAAUGAAUUUUGUACUCAUUCCUUCAACCAUUCUAUUGCUACUAUUUUAAUUAGAAUUCUAAUACAUGUGCCUUGAAUGGAAAACUCAUUACAUUUCAUACAUCAUGUUUUCGUACGAUCUUUAUCGCAAUAAAUUUAAACUCAUUCAUAUUUGCUCACUGUUAUCUCAUACUUUUUUUUUUCUUCCAUAAAACUUCUAUAUAAUUUUUCAUUACAUUCUCCACUCAUUCCAUUCAAUCCAAGUGAACACAACCUUAUAAACACUUGCUUUUAUUUAAAUCGUCAUACAUGUCUCUUUUCUGUUACAGCUUAUAGUAGAUUUGUGGUCUACAUAUCAAUGCAGGAUGGUCAAAAGUGGAAGCUGUUAUUACAAUAAAACAGACGGUAUGACAAUCACAUAUCCUAUCCAAGCCAGAUACAUAGUAGAAUAUAGCACGACCUACAAUUAAGUAGAAUUUCAUGCGCGUUUUCCGCUUGGAGGAAGAAAAUUUACAGAUAUUACGAAAAUGUCAUGAGUACGUCCACCGAAGAAAAUCCAUCUUAAUUUCUCUUUUUAUGUUAAAGGUAGGAGGAGACGAGGAGCCAGGGGGUCUACAUUUGAAGCUACUCUCCAAAACCGGGUCGACCAUAAAAACAGGGGAUACAAAAUAAAUUAGCAAAAAAAAGAAAAAGAAAUUAGUAUCAUAUUAUUUUAGGCAAAUUUUGUAAGCCAAUUAUGUACAUAUAACAGUAACCUAAUGUAUGUCAUCUUUUAUAACCGUUGGUAGUCGAUCCAACGAGAGUUUUACAGCGAAAUGUUUUGGCAUUUUUAAAUGUUAUUCUGGUUUGGUGAAGUUUCAUUUGGUAGUUGCUUCUUGCUUGUUUUAUUGAUUUAUUAGUAUUUUGCAUGGGUCUUUCCCCCCUUUGAUGAGUAGCUUGAGCAUGAGUCCGUUUGACUGAUUUCAAAAUUAUGAUUUUAAUAUGAUAAUCUAGGAGUUUAAAAUAUAUGUUUGAAUAAUUUUGAUUUACUAAUGAUUUAUGAUUUAUAAGUUAUUAAAAUGAUAAUACAAAAAAUGAUUUAUGAAUAAGUUAUGACUUAUGAAUAAUUUUUAUAAAAAGAAAUUUAAAAAAACUAAAUCACUCAAGAAAAUAUGGCUAAUUAAUUUUUAGAUUUAAGUUUCUGACUUAUUUAUGAUUUUCAAUAACUUAUUUAUGGCUCUCCAGCCGUUUCAGACUUAUUAUACUAACAGAUAUUUUUCAAUUUAAAUUAGGAAAUAACAAUUUUAUUAAAUGAAAAAGUUUAAAAUUAAGAUCUUACUCUUAUGAGGUGUUCAGGACUAGAUGUCUGUUGGGCGCUGUUACAGUAUGUUAAUAUAAUUUAACAUGAUUUCUACAUGCAUGCUGGUUGUAUUGCUCAGAGCUGUUCACCAACUGAGCUGUUCGCGAACCGAGUUGUUCGCGAACAAGCUCGAGCUCGUCUCGUUAAAACUCCAAAAAAUGCAAUAUUUUUAUGAUAAUUUUGUAUGAUAUACAUGUUAUUAAACGCCGAAUUCAACAUAUAAUAUAUCAAAUCGAUCAUAAAAAUAUUAACUAUAAUAUGGUACCAUCAAAACACACUAAAAUUUUUAUUUGGCUUGCUAUUUUAAGAGUCAAAUAGCGGUGUGAUCUUAUUUUUUUCUGGCUUGGCUCGUAUUUGCUCGUGAAGAAGCUCGUGUUCGGCUCGUUAGUUAACUAGCUCGAGCUCGAACACAAUUUUUUGUUCGAUAAGAAAACUCGGCUCGGCUUGAUAGGAAAAAAAUUUAAAGCUCGGUUCGGCACGGUCAAAACUUGAUUCGGCUCUGUUCGUGAACAGCUUUGGUCUCUGCACACCAUGUUAUAGUAUUGCGAAGAGUAGUAUGAAUUUGGGCACCGGUAAUUACAGAAAGUUUCCUUGUCAAUAUACUCAUUUUAAUUAUAAACUAUUCUGAUAGUUUAAGUAAAUUGUAACCGACUUUUUGAAUAUAAUAACACAGAGCUUUCAAAAUCAAUUUAUAAUUCCAACGUCAACAUCAAAAUGGAAAAAGAAAUUCUGAGCAAAAAGAUUCGCAAAGACAUGAUGAUAAUCAGCCCGAGAGAGCAUUAUUGUUAUAUCCUUGCAUAAUUGUCGAGUUUUCUUUUUUAUAAUAAAACUGGCAACUUUUUAUUAGAAUUGAAUUAAAUUAACUUUUUAUUAGAAUAACUUGCAUUAUUGUUAUAUCAUUACUUUUUAUUAGCAUUAGUUUCAUCUAUUACACCUAUCUUAUAUAUUAAAUAUCAAUUGAUCCCAUCAUUUAUUCUCUUUUCUUUGAAAGAAUUUACUCAUUUUUCUUCUUUAAAUUAUAUUUUUUAUUAGACGCCAUGCCACCUAUAUGUAUAUAACUCCACAGGAUGUAGAGUAAUUUUGUAGGGUAUGUACAGAAAUACCCUACAAAAUUACUCUACAUUUUCCCGAAAGAAGACAGAAGUGGAGGGAUCAGAGUGGAGGAGAGACGUGUAGUAGGAAAAAUAACGCGUCUGCUACUUUGAAACAAUAUUAUUUUACUAUUAAUGUAGCCUGCAGGCCAGACCCAUUUUUAUAUUUAAAACACACUUGCGAAGACUUGGAUCAAAACACACUAGUAAAAGAAAGACUUCAAGUAUACAGAGUGCAUCCGGGAGAGACCUUAGUUGAAUCAAUAAUGGCUUUUGUGUUAUGGGAAACGUUGAAAGAAUCAAUCUCAGCAUACGCAGAUCUCUCACCUGUGACUUUGCUUACAUCUGUAACUUUGGGACUUGCCUUGUUCUACGCUAUUUGGGUGAUGUUUAGGCCCUCUGCUCAGCCACAGCAGCAGCAGAGUUUGGUGGUGAAAGACAAGAAUGAAGUUACAACUAGUCAAUUAGCUGUUGUCACCUCAUCCCCUCUAUGGGAUGUCUUUUUGAGUUUUUGUGGCCAAGACACUCGCGGAAAUUUCAUUUCACAUCUUUACCAUGCUUUGGAUCAGGCAGAGAUCGUAACCUUCCUAGACGAACCUGCACUUGAAAAGGGUGAAGAAAUUUCAAGAGGACUGCCUGAAGCAAUCAGAAAUUCUAAGAUGUUUGUAGUUGUUAUCUCAGAGAACUAUGCUGAUUCGUCGUGGUGCCUUGAUGAGCUUGUAGAGAUCCUGAGUUGCAAGAGAACAAACAAUCAGGUAGUUAUUCCCGUAUUUUACUAUAUUGAUCCAUCACACCUACGACACCACAACGGGAGUUUCGGUGCAGCUCUUAAAAAGCAUGAGAAGCGUCACUCUGUUGAUAGGAUUCACAAGUGGAAAUCUGCACUUGCUGAAUUCGCAGAUUUAUCAGGAUACCAUUUGAAAGACACGAAAGAAGAGUAAGUACCUCUACGAUGAGUUCUUUAUCUAUCUAAUAAUACCGUCUGUUUUUUUAUUAAUGUUCGGUUAUACUUUCUGUGAGCACAUAACAUGCUUACUCAUUAAAGGAAUUGCGACGCAAAACAUUAUAUAUUGUUUAUAUAAGCAAAGGAUUACAACUGUGUAUAUUGUACUAAAUUUAACAGGAGGGAAGCACAUACAGUUCAACAUAUUGUUCAGGAUGUAUUGUCACAAGUACCAACAAAGGCUGUGCACCUUGAAAGAGGUCUAUUUGGGAUAGAUCUUGCUGUCGAAGAGAUAUAUCAACAGCUAAGCAUCGAGUCAAAUGAUGUCCGCGCCCUUGGAAUAUGUGGGAUGGGUGGAAUUGGGAAAACGACUAUAGCCAAGGCCUUCUACAACAAGCACGCCCACGAAUUUGAUAUAAGUUGUUUUAUGGAAAAUGAUAAACAGAAUUCACAAGGAGCUAGUCCUCCACUUUCUUUACUUCACCAACUCCUGAAAGAGCUUCUCAGAGUGAAGGAUUUGAAGGUCCGUGAUUAUGGAAGUGCACUACGUAAAUUGGAAAAAUUUAUCAGUUCUAAGAAAGCCCUCGUUGUUCUUGAUGAUUUAGACCAGUAUAGCUGUUCAGAAUUGCUAGUACGGAUUUACCAGCAGUUUUCAGUUGGUAGCAGAAUCAUUUUUACGGCAAGAGAUACAAACCUUCCAAAUCAACUGAAAGUGGCGAUGUCAAAUGUAGACAUAUAUAUGGUGAAGCAUUUGGAUCACACGGAUUCAUUGAAGCUCUUUAGCUAUCAUGCUUUUAACAUAUCAAAGCCUCCCGGAAAAUACUUAGAUCUGUCAGAAUGUUUUGUCAUGUACACGGGAGGCCUUCCACUAGCUCUAAAGGUGUUGGGUUCGUCUUUGUGCGGUAGAACAGAUGUUUCAUUUUGGAAAGUUAAAUUGGAAAAGGUUAAAAAAAUUCCAUUGAAAGAUAUUCAAAAAGUCCUUCAACUGAGUUACGAUGAAUUAGAAGAUGAAACGGUGAAGGCUAUCUUCCGCUAUAUUGUAUUCUUCUUCCUGGAUAAGAACAUAAAUGAGGCUAUUGAUGUAUUCAAAUCCUGUGGUUUUUUUCCGGAAGUUGGGAUACCAAUUCUAGUUGAAAGGUCUCUGCUAACCAUUGAUUUAGCUAAAAGACUUCAAAUGCAUAAUCUUAUACAAGAUAUGGGAAGGAACGUCAAAGAAUCCAAACAUGGGCUCUUGUACUUGGAUCAGGAAGAAGCUUCCCAGACUUUGCCAAAUACAACGGUGAACAAAAUGCAAAUUUUUUUAUUCUCUUAUGAGAUAACAUACAUGCUUUUUCUAAAUAUAGAAUUAUUUAACUCAAUUAUAAAUUCUAUACUAAUAAAUAAGUCACCAAUUCAUUCAUUUAUUGAUAAACUGUAUGAUUAAACUUCAAUUUAUAAAAUGACAACUUAUUUCCCACAUUUACGUAUUUUUAAGAAAUAUGUAUUAAAAUAGUGUUUAAUAUUACUUAUUUUCCAACAGUAGAAGUAAGUAUUUAUUUCUUAAAAAAAUAAAUUCUUACAUUAUAUUUUUUAAAAAGAAGUAUGAACUUUUAGAAAAUAAGGUUAUAUUCAAAAAAUAUUACUAUUAACUAAUAUUUAAUUUAUAUGUUUUUUAACCUUAUGCAAAGGUGAUUCUUAGAGUACAAUUUCUCACUUUGGCUACUACCUGUUAAUGAACAUUCAGGACAUGGAUAAAAUUGAAGCCCUGGUUGUAGAUUGUACAACGUCAAUCAACAAAUACUGCAAUGCCCAGCUAUUUGAAAGGUUGCCAAAUCUCAGAUUAAUAAAACUAGUUGAUGUAUAUGAUAUCAAAGGAAAAAUCAAAGCUUCAUUUCAUGAGUUGAGGUACAUCAGUUGGCAUGGCUGUCCCUGGACCCAUUUAUCUUAUGGUGUUCAUCUACAAAAACUUGUCGUUUUAGACAUGCCAUUCAGCAGAUUUGAAACAUUGUGGAAGAUUGCUAAGGUAUGAAAUCAAAUAUCUUAACUAUUUCUCUCUCUUGCUCAUGUGUUAUAUGCACAAGCUUUAUAUGUCCUUGAUUCGCACACAUUAAGUUUUUUUUUUUAUAUGUUAUUAAGGGCACGAGCAUGCUGAUAUUUUAGGCCCCUUUUUAUUGAGUAUUUAUAUUUUGGUCAAAUGUUGUUGAAAAUUGAUGAUCUUGGCUAGGCAUUCACCCCAAGAAUUUAAAUAAUCUCUUAUAAAUAUAUAAAUGUUGCUCCACUUCCAAUAAAAUAUAUAUCACAUUGGUGCUACUUUACCUGUAGAGUAUCAUCAUAAUACUCAAUUAGUUGUGACAUAUCAUCAUAUAUAAUAAUCUUCUAAUGGGUUGUGACAUAUCAUCAUAUAUAAUAAUCUUCUAAUUAGCUGCUAUUCUUUUCAUUGUCCAUAUGACAGAUAGUUUAUUACUGUGUUAGGUUUGGUCUCUGUUGUUAUAGUCUGGUGCAAACAUGUUUUUAUUGCUUAAGUGAAUCAUUGAUGUGAGUAAAGUAUCACAAUGAUAUUACUCUAUUAGUGGGGUAUCUUCUUGAUAUUCAACGUGGCGUCUCAUCUUCAUACUCCUCUAACAAUGAAGUAUCUUUUCGGUCUUUCUUGAUGAAAAUUGGGUAAUUUGACUGGACAUUCACCAAGACCUUAAUUAACGUAUAUUUGUUGAACAUUUUUGAAAAUUAGAUAUGUUGAUUGUAAAAAGUUAUUUUGUUAUAAAUGCUUAGAUGAUGUGAUUAAUUAUAUAAUCAUUAGUAAUCACCAUAUUAUGUAUCAAUCAUAUUAUAAAUAAAAUAAUAUCUUGUUUCAAAAAAAAAAAAUAAUAUCUUAUAUAUAAUCAGACAUAUUAAUUACAAUCUAUUAAUUAUAUGUAUUAAUAAAGCAUGUCUACAAAUUAAUUACAUAUUUAAUUAUGAAUCGGUUAAUAUUUCAGAUAUUAUCACGUGUAUUAAUUACAAGUUAUUAAUUAUAUAUAUGAAUUAAGUAAAUGGUUAAAAGAGUAAUUUUUAUAUGAAUAAAAUGAAGUAUGUUAGGCUAUAUAUAAUAGAUAGUUGUUGCAUUAAUUAGGAUUCCAAAAAAUAAAAUGACUCAAAAUUUAUUAUUUUUCUGACAUCAGCAACCACGUGCGAUAAAAUGUUGUGUAUUUUACUUAUGUAUUUAUUGAUAAUUUCUAAAAGAGUAAUUAGAAAUUUAAAUGAUCUUAUAAUUCGUUUUAACACAUAAUUAAAAAAAAUGACAUACAUAAUUAUAAUAUUAUAUAAAUUAAAAGUAAUUAGGAUUUCAAGAAAUAAAAUGACUCAAUAUUUACAUUUUUUUUUUAAUACCAACGCCUACAUGUGACAAACAUUUUCUCAUCUAUUUGUUCAUAAUUAAAAGCAUCUCGGGAAUAUGUAUAAUGGUUGGUUAUAUUGAUUAGUUAAAUUGAUUAUAUAAUUUCUUUGAUGAGGGGACAUGUAUAUGCUCCAAUGAGAUUAUCUAUAAUAAUGCUCGUGGAAAAUUAUAGCUAAGAGCAUCUCCAACCAUGAGAAACCGUUAGCUAAAAGCUUAGUUGGCAUAUCAAAAAUAAAAAUUAUAAUCAACGCCUUCAAAAAGCGACACUCUAAUCACACCCACCCUUUGUCUAUAAUCAUAGCCAACAUCCUAUGAACGACUAUUUUAUCGAUCCACUACACAUCACUUAUUACCAUAUUAAAGUGAUAGAUUCUAUUUAUAACAAUCUAAAAUAUUGAUAACAUACUAUUUUUAAAUUAUAGCCAACCAAUAUAGUUAAUACCAUCGAAACAAAAUAUUUUACAGGUUCGGUAAAUUUUACAUAAUGUUCUACGGGUCUAAUUUAGCCACCGUUAUAGCCAAUCCCGUUAGAGAGGCUCUAAGGUUGUGUUCACUUGGAGUGAAUGGAAAAGAGGGAUAAUGGAAUGAAUUUUGUACUCUAAAAUGGUGUUGAUCAAAGUAAAUGUAUAUCAUUUUCAUUCCUUCCAUCAUUCCAACCUUACUAUUUUAACUAUAACUUUAACCCACAUGUUUUGGAAGGAAUGCUCAUUCCAUUUCAACAUCAUGUUUCUUCACAAUCUUUCUCACAAAAAAAUUAACUACAUUCAUAUUUUAUCACCAUUAUCUCAUACUUUCUUCUUUCUCUUAUAAACUUGUAUAUAAUUUUUCAUUCCAUUCUCCCCUCAUUCCAUUUCAUGAAGUGAACACAGCCUAAGGCUUUACUUGGUUCGACAAAUAUAACCACUCAAACAUGGUAGGCUAUAUAUUUUGCUAAGGGAUGGAGGGUUGGGGUUGUUUAAUUUUUAGAUAAUCUUUGUAAGUGUCAUGUAGAUGAUACCUAGAUGCCACAUAGAGAAUUUUAGCAAAGGACUGAUCUUAUAAUUCUAAUAACAUUGUUAUUAGAAACUAAUCUUAUUAUUCUACAAGAUUUUAGUAAAACAUGUUCCUUUUGUCUCAUUCGAUUGUAUGCGUUAUUUUUUUGCACCCAUUUUAAGGCUUUUGCAAACUGUAGUUUCAUAAUAUUUUUAAAUUUAUUCUUUCCUGAAUAAAAGUUUGAUAUUUAAACUUUUAUUUGAAAAAGAUAAUUUUUAAAAAAAUUCAAUACGUGCACUAGUAAAUGUAUACUGCCACCGGACGGAGAAGUAGCCCUUAUUUCUGAUUAAGAAUUCAUUUAUGGGUGUAUUGAUCGGACAGUUGUCAUCUUUGCGUCAUUUGAAUUUGGAAGGAUGCAUUUACUUGAAGGAAUUGCCAGAUUCAAUUGGGCACUUGACUGGUCUAUACCAUUUGAAUCUCAAUGAUUGUGUAAAACUAAAACGACUUCCCAAACCCAUCACACAAUUGACUACUCUGAGUUGUUUGAAUAUGAGUGGUUGGAGCAAUCUGAAACAAUUGCCGGAGCAAUUGGGCGAAUUGAAAGGCUUAAAGAGGCUUAAUGCAAGUUGUACAGCAAUAGAGCAACUGCCAGAUUCAAUUGCUCACUUGAAGAAAUUAGGUUAUUUGGAUUUGAGGGACUGUAAGAAUCUUAGAAAGUUACCUGAGCAGUUUGGGAACAUGGAAGGCUUGGUGUACUUUAAUGCAGGUGGCAGUGCAAUCGAACAACUGCAAGACUCGUUUUCAGACCUGCUUAAUUUGGUCCAUCUGAAUCUCUCUGGAUGUUCAGAGCUGAAGAGAUUGCCUGAGCAGUUGGGGAAGAUGCAAUGUCUAGAAUUCCUAGAUGCAUCUCAUACAGCAAUUAAAGAAUUACCGGAUUCUAUUGGAUCACUGCCUAGGAUAAAAGUGUUGGGUCUCGCCAAGUGCGAGAAGCUUACGUAUGUCCCAAAUAGCAUCCGCAAUCUUAAAUCAAUUGGAAGCUUAUAUCUUAGCACCUGUGAGGACAUAGUAGAAAUUGAGUUGAUUGAGAAUGUGAAAGAUAUGAACUUGCAGCACCUGGGUCUGAGUUGUAAUAUAAGACUUUGGUUGCCCAUCAUUCUAAGCUUCUCUUCUCUGAUAUCAUUAAGUCUCCGUGAUAAGUGCGGGAGCCCCUCCCCAACCAAACCCUUUAGUUUCUUUCAGCUUUCCAACCUUACAUUUUUUACUUUGACUAACAGUACAACUCAUGGUUCCUCCUUUCCCGAACUACCACUCAAUUUAAGAAGCUUGCAGGUAGAAAGCCACGCUUCUCUAGAACAAGUACCUGAUUUGUCCUACCUCAAACACUUGAAGGAUUUGUACAUAGUCAAAUGCUGCAGCCUUCAAUCUCUCCACAAACUUCCACCUCAUCUUUCACGCCUUACAGUUACUGGAUGUACAAGCCUACAAGACUUUCCAGAUGUGUCAAUGUUGAGAAAUUUAGAACAACUGGAAGUUACUCACAACGGCAGCAAUUUAAAAGUCAAUUUAGAGGAAAAUGACAUUCAGGUUUGUGGUGUUUUUGAUCUUUCUCUUCCAAUAAUACUCAUUCGGUUUUUUAAUAUAUGACAUUUGACUUUUUGGCACACAUUUGUAAAUGUUUUGACCGGUUAGUUAAAAGUAUUAUUUUUGAAAUUUUCUUUUUCUUAAUAAAAAUAUAUAAUCAAAAUUUUAAUUCACAAAAAAAAAUCAAUUAAAAAUAGAGUAAUAAUUUUUACUAUCCGGUCAACUUACUUAGAGGUACGUGAUCAAGUCAAAAAUGACAUAUAAAAAAAACAGAACAGAGGGAGUACUUUGUACAUAUUAAAUCCAUCUCCAUUUCUCUUUUUAUGUUACAGCUAAGAAGUAACCGGUGGUUUACAUUUGAAGCAACUGUACCAAACAAGGAAAUUGCGGAGUGGUUCGACUAUAAAAACAGGGAAGGCUGCACACUAUCUUUUGAAGUUCCCCCGAACUUGGGAGAUGACUUAGUGGGUGUCGCCUUCUGGGUCGUUCAUAAAUGCUCCUGUGACCGAUGGUCAAUAGUUGAAACUGUUAUUACAAAUAAAACACAGGGUAUGACAACUGCCUUGCGCACGGAUACUCAUUAUGGUACAAAGGGUGACCGACAAUCAUCUAUACAUUCCAUAAAGGCAGAGUACAUCUCAAUGAAGAACGGAGACGAAAUUAUGAUUUCUUUUCCUGAAGCAGAAGUGAGUAUGUGUGGCGCUCACAUACUAAAACGUCCUUCCGGCCUAGUCAAAUAAAAUUUUGUCUAAUUUUUUUGCCAGAAAGUAUUGUAUAAUUACAAAGCUUAAAGUUGGGUAAUUCAUCAAAAUUGAAAAUACCAAAUCUAUAAUGUUUAUUCAUCUUGGUAUAUAUAUUACCCAUAUGCAUAUAUUUUUUUGGAGAGGUUUUUUUUUUGUGACAAAAUGCAGAUUUCAUUACUCCAUAUCAUACUGAGUACAAUCUCUAACAUUAACUGGAACAGAACUCCAGUCAAACAUAUGAUCAGGAAUUUAUGGGCAAGUUCGUUUAUUCGUAGAUCGUUUAAUAGAAUACAACUUAAAGUUGUUUGCCUCCUUUAUUAACGCCCUACAAUCUUGAACUACUUGACCAAUACUGAAUACAACUUCUGAUGAUCUGAACGACUAUCAGGUAGUCAGAUUCGAUGAUAACCGUAGUCCAUCCCAUAUUCUUCAUCCAAUUUAGGGCCUCUUUGAUUGCCAAAGCUUCUUCCAAUGUAGGAUUCAAAACUUCUGAAUAGAUUUUGAUCAUAGCAUGAAGCAGAUAACCACCCUGAACCCGAGCAACAAUACCUAUACUUGAACAACCCUUAUCUUUGAAGAUUACUGCGUCAACUGUGAUCUUCACUUCAUGUUGUGGCUUAACCCAACAGGUGACACCAUUUCCUAACAUUGGAGGCUGAAAAGGUGCAAAUAUCUUAUUUAUGUAAAUCAAUAAAAUGUGUUCAAGUAUUGUAAAAUUUAUACCCGUUAAUAGAUUUAUUCUUAAAAAGUGGUUUACCAAUUCAAAUUUAAAAAUUUUGUUAAUCAUUUUAUAUUGUUCUAUACCAAGUAUAAUAAGUUUUUUUUUUGUCAAGAAAUAUAAUAAGUUUUAUAAAUGAAAUAUUAUUAUGUUUUAAUAUAAUCGAUUAUUUUUUUAAAAUAGUUUGAUUAAACAUUGUGAGCCACUGGGUUCAAAACUUUAAUAUAUUUUUUAUAUUUUUAUUUUUUGUUGUUAUACUUCCGAUAACCCUAUGAUUUUGGGCUCAAAUCUUAGUAAUUCUGUUUUAAUAUAUUAUAUGUUUCUUACCAAAACACAUAUAUUUAUCUAAUUAAUUAACUCAAAUCACUUUUAAUUCAAUGAAAAAUCAACAUCUAAAAAAGAUUUUUUUUAAUAUGAUUUUUGUCCCAAUUUAAUUAGAUUCCUGAUCCGUCCAUGCAUUACUUCUACUGUAUAAAGUAGAACUAUGUAAUGCAAUCAGAAAUCGAUGAUGCAGUCAGUAUUCUUUUAUACUAGCUGGACAAAUAUAUGAUAUCAGUAAUAUUAGUCGUGUCCACCAGCUACAGAGCAAUUUCUCAGCUAUUUCUCAACUAUUCCAAACUACUUUUUUAAAUUUAAUAUAAUAAUAGAGUCUAAUUCAUUUUAUAAUUUGAUACAGCAUUAAAAAGAUUUAGUCAGUUCACUUGGUAUACAUACAGCAAGUUUGUUUCAUUAGGAGACUUUAUUUUAGGAAAUGUUUGGUAAAUUAUUUACUUUCUGUAUCCCAUUCAUUUCUAUAUGGUUUUCUUUUUUGAAUGUCACCGUUUUUAUACAUUUAAUAAAUAAUAACUUUUAAUAGUAUAAAAAAUUAUUACACUCAUUAUUUUCCUCCACUAUCUACAUUAUAUAACAAUACAAGAGCAGUGAAGAAAUGUGCUCCAAAGGGGUUAUGUAUAAUUAUGAUCAGAUUGAUUCAACAAAUAUAACUCAUCAAAUAUGUUUUUCUAUAUUUUAUUGUUAAUGCGUGAAUAGUUGGAGUGUUUCAAAUUUUGCGUAUUCUCUAAACAUGUCAACUAGAUGAUACAUAGAUGCCAAGUGGAUGAUAUAACUGCUUUAUACCCGCUGUAACACUAUUACACCCACUACUUUACUCUACUAUCGCAAAUCUAUUUUUGAAUAUAAAUGAGUCUCAUCACUUUAUUUAUUUUUCAUAUAGUUUUACUCAUGUUUUACACUUUUUCUUGGUUUUCAUAUCCACACUCCAAUGUAUAUAAUUGGGUGGGACUGAAAGAAGGAGCAGUGAAACUAAUACAGACUUUUCAACCAUCAGAAUGAACAAAAAGUCGUGAGUACUAAAAGACUCCAAGUAGUGCAAAGAAUAAAUAUACAGACCACAUAUUUUAGAGACCAGGAAGUUGAUAAGUACAGACCUUAGUUGUUUGAAUUCAUUCUGAAUCAAUGGCUUUUGAGUUAUGGGAAACGUUCAAAGAUUCAAUCACGGCAAUCACGGCAUACGCCGAACUCUCACCUGUGACUUUGGUUAUAUUUGUAGCUUUGGGACUUGCCUUGUUCUACGUUGUUUCGGUGAUGUGUUUAGGCCCUCUGCUCAGCCAGACCAGCAGUACUGUUCGGUGGGGAAAGACAAGGAUCAAUUAGCAACUGUCACCUCAUCCCCUCUAUGGGAUGUCUUUUUGAGUUUUCAUGGCAACGACACUCGCAGAAAUUUCAUUUCACAUCUUUACCGUGCUUUGGAUCAGGCGGGGAUUGUAACUUUCAGAGAUGAUCCUGCACUUGAAAAGGGCGAAGAAAUCUCAUCAGGUCUGCGUCAAGCAAUCAGAAAUUCUAAGAUGUUUGAACUGGUUAUCUCAGAGAACUAUGCUAAUUCGUCGUGGUGCCUUGAUGAGCUUGUAGAGAUCCUGAGUUGCAAGAAAAUAAAGAAUCAGGUUCUUACGGUAUUUUACUAUGUUGAUCCAUCAGAUCUACGACACCACAAGGGGAGUUUUGGUAUAGCUCUUAAAAAGCAUCAGAAGCGUCACUCUGUUGAUAGGAUUCACAAGUGGAAAUCCGCGCUUACUGAAGUGGCAGAUCUAUCAGGUUACCAUUUGGAACACACGAAAGAAGAGUAAGUACCUCUAUGAUGAGUUCUGUAUCUAAUUAUACCAUCUAUUUUUCUAGCGAUGUUCUGCUACAAUUUUUUUGUAAACACAUUAAAGGACUUGCGACGCAACGCAUUAUAUAUUAUUGAUAUUACCAAAAGAUUACAACUCUGUAUAUUGUAGUAAAAUUAAGUAACAUUAACAGGAGUGAAGCAGACACUAUAAAAAAUAUUGUUGAGAAUGUAUUGUCCCAAGCAUCAACAAAGGUCGUACACCUUGAAAGAUGUCUAUUUGGGACAGAUUCUGCUGUCGAAGAGAUAUAUCGACGACUAAGCAUGGCGUCAAAUGAUGUCCGCGCCCUUGGAAUAUGUGGGAUGGGUGGAAUUGGGAAAACAACUAUAGCCAAGGCCUUCUACAACAAGUACUCCCUUAAAUUUGAUAUAAGUUGUUUUAUAAAAAAUGAAAAACAGAAUUCACAAGGAGCUAGUCCACUUUCUUUACUUCACCAACUCUUGAAAGAGCUUCUCAGAGUGAAGGAUUUGAAGGUCCGUAAUUCUGAAAGUGCACUUCGAAAAUUGACAGAGAUUCUAAGUUCUAACAAAGCUCUCAUUAUUUUUGAUGAUUUGGACCAGUCAAAUUAUUCGGAAUUGGUAGUAAGAAUUUACAAGCACUUUUCAGUUGGUAGCAGAUUCAUAUUUACGGCAAGAGAUACAAACCUUCCAAAUCAACUGAAAGUGGCAAUGUCAAAUGGAGAAAUAUAUAUGGUAAAGUAUUUGAAUCAAAUGGAUUCAUCGGAGCUAUUUAGCUAUCAUGCCUUUAACAUAUCAAAGCCUCCCGGAAAAUACUUAGCUCUGUCUCAAAGUUUUGUUACUCAUGCGGAAGGCCUGCCGCUGGCUCUAAAGAUGUUAGGUUCAUCUUUGUGCGGUAGGACGAAUAUAUCAAUUUGGAAAGUUAAAUUGGAAAAGGUUAAAAAAAUUCCGAUGAAAGAUAUCCAAAAAAUCCUUCAAUUGAGUUAUGAUGAAUUAGAAAAAGAUACGCAAAAGGCUAUUUUCAGUUAUAUUGUAUUCUUCUUCCUGGGAAAGAACAUAAAUGAGGCUAUUGACGUAUUCGAGUCUUGUAAAUUUUAUCCUGGGGAUGGGAUACGAAUUCUAGUAGACAGAUGUCUACUAACCAUUGAUUCCCGUAAUAGGUUUCAAAUGCAUAAUUAUAGAAGAUAUGGGAAGAAAUGUCAUUCGUGAAGAAUCCAAACAUGCCCGAGUCAGGCUCUUGCACUUGGAUCAAGAAGAAGCAUCUCAAGUUUUUCCAAAUCAAGGGGUAAACAAAAUGCUAAAUAUUUUAGUUCUAAUUAUGAGAUAACAUACUACGCUUUUUUUAAUAUAUAAUUAAUUUAAUAAUCAAAUAUUACAUUAUAAAUAAAAUAUAGUUCAUUAUAUUACUUAUAAACAUUUUUUAUUUAGAAAAAUUAUUUCCAAGUAGAAUCUAGUUUAUAAGUUUCUAACAUAUUCCAAAUGUGGUUUCGGAGGACACUUUUUCACUUUUACCACGGUUUGUUAUUGCACAUUCAGGAAAUGGAUAAAAUUGAUGGACUGAUUAUAGAUUGUACAACGUCUAUAAACAAAUACUGCAAUGGAGAGCUAUUUGAAAGAUUGCCAAACAUAAAAUUAUUGAAAUUAGUUGAUGUGUAUCAUAUCAAAGGUAAUUUCGAAGUUUCAUUUCAUCAGUUGAGGUACAUCAGUUGGCAUGGCUGUCCUUGGACCCAUUUACCUUAUGGUGUUCAUCUACAAAAGCUUGUUGUUUUAGACAUGCCAUUCAGCAGAUUUGAUAAAUUGUGGAAGAUUGCCGAGGUAUGUAAUCACAUAACUUAACUAAUUGUCUUUCUUCCUUAUAUAUGUAUAUUAGUAUAAUAUGAGAAUUACACCCCCACAAAAAAAUGAAAAACUGUGAUGCUAAUCACAAAAGACAAAUAGGAGGAACUAAAAAACAAGUGUCUAGUAUAUAUUUUUCUCAUUGCUGGUUGUCUGUUUCCUCUAUAGUUGGAAUAAAGACAUGUUGGAACAAAGACAUUAGAUAAAAUUUGCUGAACCGGUAAAACAUUAUGUUUCAAUGGUAUUGGCUAUAUUUUAAAAAUAAUAUGUUAUUAAUAUUUAGAUUGUUAUAAAUAGAAUAUAUCAGUUUAAUAUGGUAAUAAAUAAUAUGUAAUUAGUGGGAAGAAGGAAAAUAAAUUGCGGGAGAUGGCGUGUAAUUCACUACAGAUCGGUAGUGGUUCGACAAAUAUAGUCAUUCAUAGGGAGAUGACUAUAAUUAUAAACAAGGGCUUGCUAUGAUUGGAGUGCAGUUUUUUGUGGACAUUGGCUAUAAUUUUUGAUUUUGGUAAGCCAGUUGACUUCUUGUGGUUGGAGAUGCUUUUAAGUUCUAAUGCAAACUGAAAACUCUUCAAACCUGGCAUUAAUUUCUGAUUAAGAGUUGAUUUAUGGCUGUAUUGAUUGAACAGUUGCCAUGUUUGCGUCAUUUGAAUUUGGAAGGAUGCAAAUACUUGAAGGAAUUGCCCCACUCAAUUGAAAAGUUGACUGCUUUAUACCAUUUGAAUCUGAAUGGUUGUGUGAAUCUAAAACGACUUCUCAAACCCAUCACACAGUUGACUACUCUGAGUCGUUUGAAUAUGAGGUUUUGCAGCAAUCUGAGACUAUUGCCCGAUCAGUUGGGCGAUUUGAAAGGCUUAAAGAGGCUUGAUCAGUUGGGAGAUUCAAUUGCUCACUUGAAGAAAUUAGUUUAUUUGAAGUUGGAAGGUAGCAAGCAGCUUAGAAAGUUACCUGAGCAAUUUGGGAACAUGGAAGGCUUGGAGGAAUUUAAUGCAUGUCACAGUGGAAUCGAACAAUUGCCAGACUCAUUUUCAAACCAGCUUAAAUUGAGAUCUCUGAAUCUGAGAGGAUGUUCAGAGAUGAAGAGAUUGCCUGAGCAGUUGGGGAAGAUGCAGUCUCUAGAAUCGCUUUAUGCUUUUAAUACAGCAAUCGAAGAAUUACCGGAUUCUAUUGGAUUACUUCCUAGGAUACAACGGUUGCAUUUUGAUGAAUGCCAUAAGCUAACAUAUGUUCCGAAUAGCAUCUGCAAUCUUAAAUCACUCGCAAGCUUAUAUCUUACCACCCGUGAGGACAUAAUAAAAAUUGAUUUGACUGAGGCCAUGAAGGAUAUGAACUUGGAGGACCUGCGUCUGAGUUGUAAUAUAAGAGUUUGGUUGCCCAUCAUUCUAAGUUUUUCUUCUCUGACAUAUUUACGCCUCCGUGAUGAGUGCGGGAGUCCCUCCCCAACCAAACCCUUUAGUUUUUCUAAGCUUUCCAACCUUGACGUACUUUCUUUGACUAACAGUUCAAGUCACGGCUCCUCCUUUCCCGAACUACCACCAAAUUUAAUAUUGUUGGAGGUAGACAACCACGCUUCACUAGAACAAGUACCUGAUUUGUCUUACCUCGAACACUUGAAAGAAAUUUCCAUAAGGAGAUGCUGCAGCCUUCAAUCUGUCCAGAAACUUCCACCUCAUCUUUCAAGCCUUACAGUUACAGAUUGUACAAGCCUACAAGAGUUUCCAGUUCUGUCAAUGUUGAGAGAUUUAGAACUACUGGAAGUUACUGGCAACGGCAGCAAUUUAAAAGUCAAAUUAGAGGAAAAUCACCUUCAGGUUUGUGGUGUUUUUGAUCUUUCUCUUCCAAUAAUAAUACUUUGGACAUAUUAAAUCCAUUUCCAUUUCUCUUUUAAUCUUACAGCUAAUUAGAAGAGACUGGGGGUCUACAUUUGGAGCAACUCUACAAAACAAGGAAAUAGCAGAGUGGUUCGACUAUAAAAACAGGGGAGGGUGCACACUAUCUUUUCAUGUUCCCCCAAACUUGGGAGAUCACUUCGUGGGUGUCGCCUUCUGGGUUGUUUAUAAAUGCUCCUAUGAUGGAUGGUCAGCAGUUGAAGCUGUUAUUACAAAUAAAAGAGAGGGCAUGACAACUGCCUCGCACAGCAAGGGUAUUAAUUCUGGCAGAAAGGGUGACGUGCUAUCAUUUAUACAUUGCAUAAGGGCAGAGGACAUCUCAAUGAAGAGCGGAGACAAAAUUAUGAUUUCUUAUCCUGACGGAGAAGUGAAUAUGUGCGGGGUUCACAUACUAAAAUAGCCUUCCACGAAGAGCCUAGCGACAGAGCCAAGUAAAAUGUUGUAUAAUUUGAUUUUGUAAAGAAAGUGUUGAAUAGUUAGAGCAUCUCCAACCAUUGAAAACCCUUGGCUAAAAAGUGAGUUGGCAUACUUAAAAUAAAAAAAUUUAGCCAACAGCUCGAAAAACUCAACUCCAACCAUGCUCCGCUGUUGUCUAUAAAUUUAGCCAACCUCCUAUGGAUGGCUAAAUUUGUUGAACCUCUACAGGUCUGUAAGAAAAUCUGUAGGAAGAUUGCAUAUCAUUUAUUACCAUAUUGAACUGAUAUAUUCUAUUUUAACAAUCUAAAAUAUUAAUAACAUACUAUUUUUAAAUUAUAGCCAACCAAUAUAGUCAAUACCAUUGAAGCAAAAUGUCUUACAGGUUCAGCAAAUUUUACGUAAUGUCUUACAGAUCCCAUUUUUUUAUCAAUAUCUUAUUCAUGUAAUAUAAUAAAAUGUGUUCAAAAUAUAGUAAAAAUUAGCGAUUAAUAGAUUCAUUAUUUUUUUUGAAACAAAGGUGUUAAUCUAAUAACAAAAAACCAUACGGCAUCUACACCAAUGAUCGAGUCGAACAAACAGUAAUUUGCAAUCGCCUGUUCUCAUAAAGAGACAGUUAAACGAUAUUUUAAAGAAAAUGUAUAUACAAAUACAAGUACCCGCUUCAUGCAUCCGAAGCAUGCUCGUUGAAUUACUGGUACCCUCUUCAUCAUGCCCUGACAGAGGUAUCGUCUGAGGUAUCGACCAAAACGGCGAUUCCAUACAAACUUUCAUCACCAAAUCAAGACCCUGCUUACAAUUAAGAAGCGAAAAACAAAACUCUCACCAGAAAGAGAAAACAACCUUAGAUCUGAAGCAGAACCACUGGAACAAGAGAAAUCAGACUGAAAAUCCACCCGCUUGAAACAGAGAAGAAAGAAAACGAAAUCUCCGAUGGUUUUAGAUCUAAAAAUUCUUCCGAGAAUAGAUCCGGAGCAGAACCACAAAAACAAGAGAAAUCAGACUGAAACUCACCCGCUUGGAAGAGAGACAACGAAAUCUCCGAUGGUUUUAGAUCUAAGUAUCCCGAGAAGAUGUAUUAUUCAAAAACCAGAAAGAAAAACAAAGCAAUCAAGUGAUUCGGGGCUUUCCACCGGUGAAAACCGAUAGAAGCCCCAGGCGGAUUUGACAAGAAAGAGGCUAGAGAAAAUUAGGGUUAAGGGAGAGGCUAGGGUUAAAAAGCUGUGUUAAUAGAUUCAUUAUUAAAACGUGCUUUACUUAUUCAAUUUUACAAAUUUGAUUAGUCAUUUUGUAUUAUUUUAUACCAAAUAGUUCAAGUUUCAUCUGGGCAGGGAUCCAUGCACAGAGCCAACGAAGCUCUAAAGAAUGGGUUUAGAUGGGUCAUUGGAGAUGGUAAGGAGGUGGUGGCUGUUCAGGAUCCUUGGCUGCGUAGAAAGCAAGAUCAUCGAGUAGAAAAUAGUCAUAUUUAUCAAGGAAGAGAUGAGAAAGUUGCAGACAUAUUCUUACCAGGUACGAAACAAUGAAAUUUUGAUCUAGUUCAAGCUCAGUUCCGUAGUGAGGAAGCCAUGGCUAUCUUAGCCACUCCGAUCCCUAAGGUCCAGAUUAAGAUCGUAUAGGCCAUGGUCUACUCAGAGUGCAGGUCGGUUACUGUUGUUGAAAGUACAGGUUGGGCUAAGCUCUGGAAGGUGAACAUCCCACAUAAAAUGAGGGUCUUCUUACGGAGGUUUUGUAGAAAUACAGUUCCAGUCAGGAAUAGGCUGAGAGGGAAGGGAGUGCAGGUGCCCACUCUUUGUCCGAUGUGUAAUAGCGAUGUUAAACACUUGUUGCAUAUAUUUUUAGAUUGUCAGUAUGUUGCUAGGUGUUGGCGUCAUGCAGGAUUGCAGUAUGACAUGGCAAGCGUUAAGUCUGCUCCGGAGUGGUUGCUUCAAAGUGUUAUGUUAUUGUUAUAGAAUCCUGAUUAAGAAAUUCAGACUCCUCAAAGCAAAAUAGAUGCAUGAGCCACAACUAUGUUUUCUGCUUUUAUGUGUAAAUAUAUAGUGACAAGAUAAAGAGGGCAUACGUAAGUAAUUUUUAAUAAUGGCUCCGAUAUAUGCAGAAAAUGUUGUUCUGGACAGGACUGGAAGAACUCGACCAAUUUCAGGGACUGGAAGAUCGCCAUUCUCUGCUGCUUGUUCUUGCCUCCUUUUAUUGAUCUUGCAGGGAUUGAAUAGGGCGUUGAGUAGCUUGAACCAACAAAAUUAAUCAGAGAACAUUCACAAAGUAGUUGAUAGAAUGUAAAUAGCAGAAAUAGGUGCACUGCUUACAGAAGGCAUCAAGAUUUCAUCUAUAUGUAGCAAAAUGAUAUAUAAUAGUUUGCAGACUUGGCCUUCAUUUUUUAUUAUGUUCACUAGUAACAACAAAAAAGUCCCAAUUGCAAUCUAAUAACCUUUAAAGAGAAACUGAAGCACUUGUGUGAAGUCAUGAGUUCCAGAGGAAAUCGGAUUGUCAACUACUGCAUGCUUAACCUUUAAAUAAUCAGGCCCAACACCAGCGGACCAGACGGCGGCCUUAAAAUCACGCCAUCAACCUGAAAACCACCUCCACCAGAUACUGAAGCUAGCCGAGUCGCCUCAUUCAAGCUAUAAAGAGUGUUUUUACACCUGAGUAGUAUCCCAUUCUUUGCAGCUAUACGACAGGAAUCGUUCCUUGGGGUUGACCGAUGAAGUUUAAUUACCUGCCCAUUCCAUCAAUUGCCGGAUGAUUUAUUUCCCUGCAAUAUAUGAAUUCUUAAAUUAUGCACCAAAUCAGUAACAGGGGAAAGAUGAAAAACAGAAGCUACUGACAAACAUGCAUCUGGAAUGUCAUAUACAAAAUGUGAAGCACGCCAUAACUGGGAAUGACAUAAGCACAAUGACAUCAGAGUUAAAUAGCAAACUCUGGACAAAGAGGUUACCCUCUUCUCAUAAUAUGGACAAGUAGUAUGAACUGGGCAAUUUCAGUGAAGUUGCCAAGUAUAUGAUUGAAGUUUCGAGCUCCAUUAUUGUCAAAAAGUAGUAGUAUGAAUUUAUACAAUUUCAGUGAACCUGUCAAGCAUUGAAGUUUCCAGGCGAGACCGGAGUUUUGAGUGAAGUUUUCAGCUUUUCAUGUCACGAAUUUUUUUUAUUAAGUUAUAACAAACUCUUAGAAUUUAUUUAACUAUUUUCAUAAUAAUUUAGUUUUGAAAUAUUUUUCACAGCAUAAUUUAAUUUUAGUUAAGAGAAUUCAUGACGACACGACAUUAAUAUUUUGUGGAGGGCCAGCUGAAUUUUCUGAUUAAGAAUCAGAAUGACAUACACACUUUGACAAAAAUAAAAAGAAUAUGUAAAGAAUAUCAAACUUAGACGAUAAAUUUCAAAAAAUAUGAAUUGAGGUUUUAUAAACUUUUAAAUAUAUUCAAAUUAUAAAGAAAAUUAAAAGUAAGGAAAGGGCUCAAGACUCAAGACUUGACUCAAGAGUGCCCAAAAAGGCUGUAGUAGUGGAAAAAGAAGACAUAAACAGUGACCACACAUUUAGAGAUAGGGAAGUGAAAAAAGCAUUACAAAGCCAGUGCAUUUUUAUCACCUGCAAACAUAAACAGUGUCCUCGGUUUAGUUUUCUUCUACUUCAUUCUGGAUCAAUGGCUUUUGUGUUAUGGCAAACGUUGAAAGAAUCAAUCACAGCAUACGCAGAACUCUCACCUGUGACUUUGCUUACAUCUCUAACCUUGGGACUUGCCUUGUUCUACGCUAUUUCGGUGAUGUUGAGGCCUUCUGCUCAGCCACACCAGCAAGUCGCAGUGCUGGAAGACAAGAAUGAAUUAGCUGCUGUCACUUCAUCCCCUCUAUGGGAUGUCUUUUUGAGUUUUC